UACGUAGGCAGCGAGCGUUGUCCGGAAUUAUUGGGCGUAAAGAGCUCGUAGGCGGCUUGUCACGUCGGGUGUGAAAGCCCGGGGCUUAACCCCGGGUCUGCAUUCGAUACGGGCAGGCUAGAGUGUGGUAGGGGAGAUCGGAAUUCCUGGUGUAGCGGUGAAAUGCGCAGAUAUCAGGAGGAACACCGGUGGCGAAGGCGGUUCUCUGGGCAUGUCCUGACGCUGAGGAGCGAAAGUGUGGGGAGCGAACAGG
rnacentral:rRNA from 1 species